UGAGGAAUCUGUCCAUCGGCGGGGGAUAGCCGGCCCAACGGCCGGGUAAUACCGCGUACGACCACAUGGGGACAUCCCUGAGUGGUGAAAGCAGCAAUGCGCCGAUGGAGUGCCUCGCGGCCUAUCAGCUAGUUGGUGAGGUAACGGCUCACCAAGGCGACGACGGGUAGCUGGUCUGAGAGGAUGGCCAGCCACAUUGGGACUGAGACACGGCCCAGAUUCCGUACGGG
rnacentral:rRNA from 1 species